UACGUAGGGUGCAAGCGUUAAUCGGAAUUACUGGGCGUAAAGCGUGCGCAGGCGGUUAUGUAAGACAGAUGUGAAAUCCCCGGGCUCAACCUGGGACCUGCAUUUGUGACUGCAUAGCUAGAGUACGGCAGAGGGGGAUGGAAUUCCGCGUGUAGCAGUGAAAUGCGUAGAUAUGCGGAGGAACACCGAUGGCGAAGGCAAUCCCCUGGGCCUGUACCGACGCUCAUGCACGAAAGCGUGGGGAGCGAACAGG
rnacentral:rRNA from 1 species